AGACCGCGGUAAUACGGAGGGUGCAAGCGUUAAUCGGAAUAACUGGGCGUAAAGGGCAUGCAGGCGGUUCAUCAAGUAGGAUGUGAAAUCCCCGGGCUCAACCUGGGAACAGCAUACUAAACUGGUGGACUAGAGUAUUGCAGGGGGAGACGGAAUUCCAGGUGUAGCGGUGGAAUGCGUAGAUAUCUGGAAGAACACCAAAGGCGAAGGCAGUCUCCUGGGCAAAUACUGACGCUCAUAUGCGAAAGCGUGGGUAGCAA
rnacentral:rRNA from 1 species